GAGAUUUCCCCUCUGAUUUAGUUGGAUUGGGGGAGGCUAGAGAGGCUUGCUUGUUGUUGUGUUUUCUGUGUGAGAGAGCAGAGAGAACUGAGAGAUCACAUGGAUCCAGUGUACAGAUGAGCUUUUGGUGUGGGGGUGGUGGUGGUGGUUGAGGUAGCAGGGAGAGGAUGGUCACUAGAUGGAAGAGUGCAGGGAAUGUUGCUUGCUACUGCUACUGCAUGUGCUAUUGUGUUAUUUUGUAAUAUUUCUGAACUGUUAGCGAUAUUGCCGCAGUGAGAUGAGCUUAUUUUGUAAUAUAUGGUCUUUUCCAGUGCAUUGCAAAACUAACUAAUAGUUUGUGAUCUGACACCCUGGUAACCUCAUGAUUGGGUGGUGCAUGCAGGGCACACCUCCGAGCUAGCCGAUGCUUAGUAUACCAGUGUUCUGCUGCAUCCGGUGCGACCUCAAAGAAUACCUUCGUCUAGCUGGCCGUUGAGCACCUUAGGGACGACGAGGUGCAGUGCCUGGGGUGUAAGCAGUUCAACUACACGAUGAAGUGAGUAAAGGGGUUAAGACGGUUGCAUUGUGCGUGCGCUGCUUGCUUGCUGUCAACUUGUUGGACAACUGUACACGUAUGUGUUUUUUCAAGCCCACUGAUUUCAGCCUCUCCGUCUCCUUCAAGCCGAUGAGAAGUUCAGGGAUAUUCCUGGGAGUGCCUAUUAUGUGGCUCCGGAGGUGCUGAAGCGGAUAUAUGGAGCCGAUAAUUGCAUAUGGAGUGCUGGAGUUAUACUCUACAUUCUGCUGUCUGGCAUUCCUCCUUUUUGGGCAGCAGGGCAGGUGCGUUCUCUGGCUGGUUAUGUCAAUCAAUUUUGGGGCUGUGAUGGAUGCAAAGACUGGAAGAUCCUCCUGUGAAGCAUAAAUUUCAUUGUAUCCAAGGAGAUAUCAAAUGCUGAAAACAUGGGACUCAAAAUGUAUAGAGUUGGAGACACUGCUAAACUGUCAUUUAUGGGUGUCUACCAAAUUCAUUAUCAACCACUGUUGUAGGACCGGCGGUUGGGAGGACAUAGACUAAGAGCUAUAUAUGAUGAUUCUACAAAAGAUAAUGUACUGGAAGACAUGAGAACUUUUAGGAUGCUACAGUGUAAAAAUAUUUGGAAUAUGGUAUGGUUAGCCGGACCGGAACCAAAGCAAGAACGAGAAGGAGCUUAAGUAGGGCCAUGUCGGGGUGUCGCCACAAUAGGAAAUUGUCGCUGGUGCUAGAUACCAGGGGAACCAAAAAAUCUUUUUUCUACAAAGGUAACGAACUUUUUGGGUCUAGAGGGGACCAAGAUGAGCAGGCCAGCAACAUCCUAUUCCUGCUUAUCUUUGUUUUCUUUGUAUCUGUAUUAUUAAUCUUGGUUUCAACUGGGUGUUGAGUGCAAUCUUCCGGGUGCAAUCCUCAAAUAUGGGAUGUCGUACUAGCCUUAAUUCAACAUCUGGAAUGGCUUAUGAUGGCAUGGAGUUCCAUCAUUUCGGCUGCUUGCGGCGGGGAGUGUGGCCGGUGCUUGCGGCAGCAGCGAAGCGGCAUGCGCGAGCGCAGUGUAGGCAGUGGCCAAAGGCUCAUCGGCCGCUGCGAGUACGCCGUUGGCACCAGGUUCAUGACAUUGUAAAAAAAAUCUUGAUUCAAUAUUCUUUCGUCAUUAUUCCUCUUUCAUGUUCUUGAUCCUUCAAGAUACUUGCUAGAUUUCUAGCUGAUAUUUUUUGGUAGUAUAAGCUCGAUGUAUAUGGCCUGAAUAUGACCUGAUUCAGAGUACAUUGUGUUCUGAAGCUUUUUACUGUAUGGUUCUCUCUUGAAAGAAUUCAAGCCAUUGUUCAAUGGGAGAGAACAGUUGUAAUCCUGAAAUAAAUGUCGUACCUAUUCAACAGCUGACACAAUUGCCACUGAGAUCAUUAUUUUCCUUUUUUACUCAGGUUUUCAACAUCACAAAUUUCAUACUAAUGGAGUGGAGCUACCAAAAUAUCUAUUGAGGAGUACCUUUGUGAAGCUGAUAUAUCUUUCUUUUACAAGAUAUGGUUGCACUUGCUUCAUCUACAUAGGCUGUCUGGAAUGCCAUGAGGCCGGGAUUGGUGUAGGAAAUCUUCAAAGCUAUUAUAUUGGUCUCAAGAAACUUGCAAUACAUCAAUGCAUUAUUAUUUUUAAUUUUUUUGCUGACACCACAGCUACCACCUCUUCACUAAAUGACAGAGGUUGCCAGCAACUGCACAUGGAAAGAUUUAAUGUUAUAUUAUGUCUACUAAUCAAUAAGGAGGGAGAUCAAAUUACUGCUCUCAAAUAUUCACCUGAUUGAUUUUGAAAAGAGGGUUAAAAAAUGGUGUUAUGAAUGAAGAUGGAUGGGGUUGAGGGCUGGGAGAAAGAUGUUGUAUUGCAAGAAGAAGUUGGUUAAGAAGACUGACGAUUAUGAGAAUGAAGGACACAAACUUUUGAAUUAGACCAAUUGUUUGAUCGACCAUUCUUGUUCUCUUGAAAACGAUAUAUGGUCAAUUUUAGUAUUCUGAUGUGAUUGAAGAAUAUAGGAGGGACAAAGAGAUGUGCUAUUGCCAGGACAGUUAUGACUCUCUAUUAAGGUAUUCAGGUAUGAUUGUCCAUGGUCAUGCUUCUCCUGUUCACCUGGAAGUUUAUUGAUGGGAGGGAAGCCACUUCUGCUUUGAUGAUUUCUUGGAAGUUCAGCUAGGUGAAUUUACAAUACAAGUCAGAUUAUUUGCGAGAGAAUUUCAUUCCCUAGAAUCAUUGUCAUUCUUGUUGCCUACAAGGUACUUGAAGAAAAUGCCCGAGACAUAUUUUAAGGAGUAUAAUUCACCACUAAGGCUAUUAUUACAACGAUGGAAUCUUUGUUGUGGUAGUUAUGUCUCCAAAUGCGUCGAUCCCUAUCGGCUACUGAAGUAAACUUAUUUAUUUUUUCUGUGUCGAUUUCUAUUGUCUUACUGAUAGCUUAUUUAUUCUUUUCGAAUUUUAA